GUUUUUUGUUUAUUUAAAAAAUAUAACCUGCCCGGUGAUUUAAUUUAACGGCCGCAAUAUUUGUGCUAAGGUAGCAUAAUAAUUUGUCUUUUAAUUGAUGACUAGAAUGAAGGGUUGGACGGGGAAUAGCUGUCUCUAAUAUUUUUAUUUUAAAUUUACUUUCAAGUAAAAAGGCUUGAAUUUUUUAGUGGGACGAGAAGACCCUAUAGAGUUUUAUAAUUUUAUUCAUUUAUAUUACAUAUGUUUUUGUAUAAAUUAUUUGGUUGGGGUGAUUAAUUAAUAAGAUCUAUUUUAGAAUUUAUGACUUUAGGUUUAUUUAUGAUCCAUAUUUUAUGAUUAUUAGAUUUAAUUACCUUAGGGAUAACAGCGUUAUACUUUUGUAGAGUUCUUAUCGAUGAAAGUGAUUUCGACCUCGAUGUUGGAUUAAAAUACUUAAUUUAGAGAAGAAGCUAAUUUAAGUAGUCUGUUCGACUAUUAAAAUUUUACA
rnacentral:rRNA from 1 species